UGAACGCUGGCGGCGUGCUUAACACAUGCAAGUCGAACGAAGCACUUUAUUUGAUUUCCUUCGGGACUGAUUAUUUUGUGACUGAGUGGCGGACGGGUGAGUAACGCGUGGGUAACCUGCCUUGUACAGGGGGAUAACAGUUGGAAACGGCUGCUAAUACCGCAUAAGCGCACAGCAUCGCAUGAUGCAGUGUGAAAAACUCCGGUGGUAUAAGAUGGACCCGCGUUGGAUUAGCUAGUUGGUGAGGUAACGGCCCACCAAGGCGACGAUCCAUAGCCGACCUGAGAGGGUGACCGGCCACAUUGGGACUGAGACACGGCCCAAACUCCUACGGGAGGCAGCAGUGGGGAAUAUUGCACAAUGGGCGAAAGCCUGAUGCAGCGACGCCGCGUGAGCGAAGAAGUAUUUCGGUAUGUAAAGCUCUAUCAGCAGGGAAGAUAAUGACGGUACCUGACGAAGAAGCACCGGCUAAAUACGUG
rnacentral:rRNA from 1 species